UGUGUGACCAUUCUGUUAUCACUGGCAUACAUUGUCUUCUUGGUCUCACAGUUAUUGACAGGGAUGGGGUCAGUAAUACGUGCUCCAAAUCCAUUAUGCUGUGAGCUUAGUCCAGGGGCAGCUGUUUGGCCAUGUGUAGAUUUUCUUGAAUGGAAUCUCAAUCCGCUGUUGUAUGUCCUUCACAUCAUUGCUGCAGAGUGACAACAGGAGAUUUUCUACUCAUUAGACAAGAGACCUCACAGACAAAUCUUAUGUGGAAAUGCUCUCACAGACAGAUCCAACUCCAAGAACUCAGGACCACCAGACGAAGAGUAGCCCAACCCUUAAUGAUCUGGUCCCUUCCACAUCAAUCACUAAUUAAGAAGAUGCCUUACAGGCUUGCCUACACAGAGCAAGUCUUUCCGUCUCUCAAAACACCCUCAUCGAUACAUCCAAGUUGUGCUAUUUCUUAAUCCAAUAAAGUUGUUCGACAAAAUUAGCCAUCACAGCUUUCGA
rnacentral:sRNA from 1 species